rnacentral:rRNA from 1 species
UUUUUAUGUGGACCUCUGUCCUUGUGCCUCUGGUGCUUGGAUGGAACCACAUAAGCAGGUGAAACUUCUUAGAGGAACUGGCGCCCGAAAAGGCGCACGAGAAAGAGCAAUAACAGGUCUGUGAUGCCCUAAGAUGUCCGGGGCCGCACGCGUGCUACAAUGACGAUGCUACUGAGCAUGAUUAACUUGUCCGAAAGGAUUGGUGAAACUGUUCAAUCAUCGUCGUGACUGGGAUUGGGGUUUGCAAUUGUCCCCCAUGAACCAGGAAUUCCUAGUAAGCACAAGUCAUAAGCUUGUGCUGAUUACGUCCCUGCCCUUUGUACACACCGCCCGUCGCUACUACCGAUUGAAUGGUUUAGCAAGGACGCUGGAUUGAGCCCUUGCGGUUUCGGCUGCUUGGGUUUGAGAAGAUGUCCGAACUUGAUCAUUUAGAGGAAGUAAAAGUCGUAACAAGGUUUCCGUAGGUGAACCUGCGGAAGGAUCAUUA